rnacentral:sRNA from 1 species
AGAGAGGCUUGCACUGCAUGAGCUGCGAGAUCUGCUCAUCUAGAUCGAGGGUUGCAUCCGUUGGAAGCGAAUUCGCGCCCAUGUUUUUGGUAGUGCGUCGUCGUCUUCUUUCCUUCAAGUCGGAUCCGGAAAACAGAUCAGAAACGAGGCAAAGGU